rnacentral:lncRNA from 1 species
UGUUGAAGGAAUUGUUCUGAAUUGGUUCCAUAUAAACUGAAUUGAAUUAAAAGUUAUUCAUAGAAACACUAAAGUUAUGUGUAAAGUGUUUACUGGGGUCCCCAUACACUUCACAGGAGUCGCCCCCUGUUGGCUGAUAUAAAUAAUGCUGUCUUAAACCACAUGGGCUUCUUGAAGCUAUGCCCAUCUUUUAUAUACAGUCUCUGAUUUGGGUCCAUGAUUAUUUAAGGCGCUGGUUUUAUCGAGUAUCUGUUUCCAAUCAACGACAACAUAAAAACGUCCCCAUUUAAAUGUUAACAUUGAAACAUGUUCAUAGACUAUAAAGAGCAUCUGUUACCUGCUACCCACAAAAAAGUUUGUGUUUGUGGUUGUAAAGCUGCGUGGUUACAAGCAGCAGGAAGAACAGGCGUGUUCACAGAGGCCGAGUUCCUGUUCUCAGAUCACACAGGAACUAUUCAGACACUUCCCACUGUGUCAGGAUGAAGGUGAAGAUCUUCUGCUGCCUGUUAGCCUGCACUCUGGGCUCUAAUGUCACUGCUGGUUUAACCCAUGAAGUAUUUAAGGAGGGGACACAGCUCACUCUGCGCUGUCCUCACUCUGUGGAGGGUAAAGUGAGGUGGAGCAGAGAGAGUGGAGGAAGCAGAGCUGACAUACUUACAGCUGAUGGAGACGGAAAUAUAAAACACAUCAAUGAUUCACAGAAACGAUACAGUUCACUGGCUGAUCGAUCUCUGAUCAUCGUCAGAGCUUCUGUCUCAGACUCUGGCAGAUACUUCUGUAACCAUGAAGCAGCUGUGGAGCUGACAGUGAUCCCAUCAGGAACUAAAAUAGUGAGUGUUGCAGAGAGGAGCAGCAUCACUCUGAACUGUUCUCAUGAUGUUGGAGGAUCAGCUGUUCCCACAUGGAGACGAGACUCUGGAGAAAUAAAUGAAGGAAGGAUUUCUGUUUCCACUGAGGACAAAACAUUAAGUAUAAGAGAAGCUGAGCCUGCUGACUCUGGACUGUACUACUGUGAUGGAAAACCAGCUGUUUAUCUGAAUGUGACCAAAGGACAGAGAUCUGACAGAGGUGAGACACAUGAACCCAAAAAUAACACAGAAAGGUUUUUGUAGAGUUUCCAACAAACUUUAAUCUAAGAAAAUCUUCCUGCUGGAUUAUUCCUACCAUACAGACAUGAGAGUGGUGUCAGUGUUUUACCUAAAUGUGGACUCACACUGAGCAUGGAGGCCGAGUAGUGUCCCCAUUAAAUUCUGUCUAAUUUAAUAAAAUGCAUUCACAGCUUCUAUCACAGAUGAACUACAAAUCUAAAACACAAACAGCAGAUGUUUCCAUUUAAAUUGUGACUAAGAAGCAAAUUCUUCAUCAGACAAGCUGGAAGUUUUUGAUAGAGCAGAAAUAUCUUAAUGACCUUCAGAUGUGAUGAGAUUAUUACAAACUACAGCACAAAGAUGCUGACUGUGGGCGAGUAUCAGUCAUUCUAGGACGUUCACAAAGCUCGAGCAUUAAUAUUAUUAGUGCUGUCCUGGGAAACAAACGUCCUUUUUUCAUGCUUUCAACAUGUUAAUGACAAUAAAGAACACGUCUUUCGUUCUGUCUGUCUGUCUACUUCAUUUGUCAGAAUCUUAUGUUGUUUGUAACUCACUGACACAUCUGUGUUUCAAACUGGGCUGUCCACACCACACCCAGCCUCUGUGUCAUAACUGGUUAUAAAUACUUUGUGAGGAUGAAUCAGUAAAGUCAUAAAGGUCAACCUUCAACACAACGUUUCCAUGACAGCAUC